UGCGUAGGUGGUUUCUUAAGUCAGAGGUGAAAGGCUACGGCUCAACCGUAGUAAGCCUUUGAAACUGGGAAACUUGAGUGCAGGAGAGGAGAGUGGAAUUCCUAGUGUAGCGGUGAAAUGCGUAGAUAUUAGGAGGAACACCAGUUGCGAAGGCGGCUCUCUGGACUGUAACUGACACUGAGAUGCGAAAGCCAGGGUAGCAACG
rnacentral:rRNA from 1 species